UGUCCUACGGGGGGCAGCAGUGGGGGAUAUUGCACAAUGGGGGGAACCCUGAUGCAGCGACGCCGCGUGGGCGAUGGAGUGCUUCGGCAUGUAAAGCCCUAUCAGCAGGGAAGAAAAUGACGGUACCUGACUAAGAAGCCCCGGCUAAAUACGUGCCAGCAGCCGCGGUAAUACGUAUGGUGCAAGCGUUAUCCGGAAUGACUGGGUGUAAAGGGAGCGUAGACGGUUGUACAAGUCUGAUGUGAAAGCCCACGGCUCAACUGUGGGAGUGCAUUGGAAACUGUAGAACUAGAGUAUCGGAGAGG
rnacentral:rRNA from 1 species